rnacentral:rRNA from 1 species
AACGAACGCUGGCGGCGUGCCUAACACAUGCAAGUCGAGCGGUAGAGAGAAGCUUGCUUCUCUUGAGAGCGGCGGACGGGUGAGUAAUGCCUAGGAAUCUGCCUGGUAGUGGGGGAUAACGUUCGGAAACGGACGCUAAUACCGCAUACGUCCUACGGGAGAAAGCAGGGGACCUUCGGGCCUUGCGCUAUCAGAUGAGCCUAGGUCGGAUUAGCUAGUUGGUGAGGUAAUGGCUCACCAAGGCGACGAUCCGUAACUGGUCUGAGAGGAUGAUCAGUCACACUGGAACUGAGACACGGUCCAGACUCCUACGGGUGGCAG